GACGGUACCUGAAGAAUAAGCACCGGCUAACUACGUGCCAGCAGCCGCGGUAAUACGUAGGGUGCAAGCGUUAAUCGGAAUUACUGGGCGUAAAGCGUGCGCAGGCGGUUUUGUAAGUUUGUCGUGAAAUCCCCGGGCUCAACCUGGGAAUGGCGAUGAAGACUGCAAGGCUAGAGUUUGGCAGAGGGGGGUAGAAUUCCACGUGUAGCAGUGAAAUGCGUAGAUAUGUGGAGGAACACCGAUGGCGAAGGCAGCCCCCUGGGUCAAAACUGACGCUCAUGCACGAAAGCGUGGGGAGCAAACAGGAUUAGAUACCCUGGUAGUCCACGCCCUAAACGAUGUCUACUAGUUGUCGGGUCUUAAUUGACUUGGUAACGCAGCUAACGCGUGAAGUAGACCGCCUGGGGAGUACGGUCGCAAGAUUAAAACUCAAAGGAAUUGACGGGGACCCGCACAAGCGGUGGAUGAUGUGGAUUAAUUCGAUGCAACGCGAAAAACCUUACCUACCCUUGACAUGGCUGGAAUCCC
rnacentral:rRNA from 1 species